rnacentral:rRNA from 1 species
GGUGUGACUGCGUACCUUUUGUAUAAUGGGUCAGCGACUUAUAUUCUGUAGCAAGGUUAACCGUAUAGGGGAGCCGCAGGGAAACCGAGUCUUAACUGGGCGUUAAGUUGCAGGGUAUAGACCCGAAACCCGGUGAUCUAGCCAUGGGCAGGUUGAAGGUUGGGUAACACUAACUGGAGGACCGAACCGACUAAUGUUGAAAAAUUAGCGGAUGACUUGUGGCUGGGGGUGAAAGGCCAAUCAAACCGGGAGAUAGCUGGUUCUCCCCGAAAGCUAUUUAGGUAGCGCCUCGUGAACUCAUCUUCGGGGGUAGAGCACUGUUUCGGCUAGGGGGUCAUCCCGACUUACCAACCCGAUGCAAACUACGAAUACCGAAGAAUGUUAUCACGGGAGACACACGGCGGGUGCUAACGUCCGUCGUGAAGAGGGAAACAACCCAGACCGCCAGCUAAGGUCCCAAAGUCAUGGUUAAGUGGGAAACGAUGUGGGAAGGCACAGACAGCCAGGAUGUUGGCUUAGAAGCAGCCAUCAUUUAAAGAAAGCGUAAUAGCUCACUGGUCGAGUCGGCCUGCGCGGAAGAUGUAACGGGGCUAAACCAUGCACCGAAGCUGCGGCAGCGACACUAUGUGUUGUUGGGUAGGGGAGCGUUCUGUAAGCCUGCGAAGGUGACCUGUGAGGGUUGCUGGAGGUAUCAGAAGUGCGAAUGCUGACAUAAGUAACGAUAAAGCGGGUGAAAAGCCCGCUCGCCGGAAGACCAAGGGUUCCUGUCCAACGUUAAUCGGGGCAGGGUGAGUCGACCCCUAAGGCGAGGCCGAAAGGCGUAGUCGAUGGGAAACAGGUUAAUAUUCCUGUACUUGGUGUUACUGCGAAGGGGGGACGGAGAAGGCUAUGUUAGCCGGGCGACGGUUGUCCCGGUUUAAGCAUGUAGGCUGAUUAUCCAGGCAAAUCCGGAUAAUCAAGGCUGAGGUGUGAUGACGAGGCACUACGGUGCUGAAGUAACAAAUGCCCUGCUUCCAGGAAAAGCCUCUAAGCAUCAGGUAACAUCAAAUCGUACCCCAAACCGACACAGGUGGUCAGGUAGAGAAUACCAAGGCGCUUGAGAGAACUCGGGUGAAGGAACUAGGCAAAAUGGUGCCGUAACUUCGGGAGAAGGCACGCUGGUGUGUAGGUGAAGUCCCUGCGGAUGGAGCUGAGACCAGUCGAAGAUACCAGCUGGCUGCAACUGUUUAUUAAAAACACAGCACUGUGCAAACACGAAAGUGGACGUAUACGGUGUGACGCCUGCCCGGUGCCGGAAGGUUAAUUGAUGGGGUUAUCCGUAAGGAGAAGCUCUUGAUCGAAGCCCCGGUAAACGGCGGCCGUAACUAUAACGGUCCUAAGGUAGCGAAAUUCCUUGUCGGGUAAGUUCCGACCUGCACGAAUGGCGUAAUGAUGGCCAGGCUGUCUCCACCCGAGACUCAGUGAAAUUGAACUCGCUGUGAAGAUGCAGUGUACCCGCGGCAAGACGGAAAGACCCCGUGAACCUUUACUAUAGCUUGACACUGAACAUUGAGCCUUGAUGUGUAGGAUAGGUGGGAGGCUUUGAAGCGUGGACGCCAGUCUGCGUGGAGCCAACCUUGAAAUACCACCCUUUAAUGUUUGAUGUUCUAACGUUGGCCCCU